rnacentral:rRNA from 1 species
AAUGAACGCUGGCGGCAUGCCUAACACAUGCAAGUCGAACGAAGGCUUCGGCCUUAGUGGCGCACGGGUGCGUAACGCGUGGGAAUCUGCCCUCAGGUUCGGAAUAACAGCGAGAAAUUGCUGCUAAUACCGGAUGAUAUCGCGAGAUCAAAGAUUUAUCGCCUGAGGAUGAGCCCGCGUAGGAUUAGCUAGUUGGUGUGGUAAAGGCGCACCAAGACGACGAUCCUUAGCUGGUCUGAGAGGAUGAUCAGCCACACUGGGACUGAGACACGGCCCAGACUCCUACGGGAGGCAGCAGUGGGGAAUAUUGGACAAUGGGCGAAAGCCUGAUCCAGCAAUGCCGCGUGAGUGAUGAAGGCCUUAGGGUUGUAAAGCUCUUUUACCCGGGAUGAUAAUGACAGUACCGGGAGAAUAAGCUCCGGCUAACUCCGUGCCAGCAGCCGCGGUAA